rnacentral:rRNA from 1 species
CCAAUAGCGUAUAUUAAAGUUGUUGCAGUUAAAAAGCUCGUAGUUGAAUUUCGGGAUCAGUACGCUGGUCAUGCCUUUGGUAUGCACUGGUGUCACUGGUUUCUCCCUUCUGAAGAUCCGUGAUGUCAUUAAUUUGGUGUCGCGGGGAAUCAGGACUGUUACUUUGAAAAAAUUAGAGUGUUUAAAGCAGGCUCACGCUUGAAUACAUUAGCAUGGAAUAAUGAAAUAGGACGUUUGACCCUAUUUUGUUGGUUUCUAGGGUCGACGUAAUGAUUAAUAGGGAUAGUUGGGGGCAUUAGUAUUCAAUUGUCAGAGGUGAAAUUCUUGGAUUUAUUGAAGACUAACUACUGCGAAAGCAUUUGCCAAGGAUGUUUUCAUUAAUCAAGAACGAAAGUUAGGGGAUCGAAGACGAUCAGAUACCGUCGUAGUCUUAACCAUAAACUAUGCCGACUAGGGAUCGGAUGAUGUUAAUUUUAUAAUGACUCAUUCGGCGCCUUACG